rnacentral:lncRNA from 12 species
GCCAACCCGGCCAGAUGGCUCCGCGCUCAGCGCCUUAACCCCUUCGGCGCCGACGCCCGCCCCCGCGCCCCGCCGCCGCGCGCCUCGCCCGCUGGCGCCCCUGCGCCCCUGAGCCUUGGGGCUGGGGGCGGGCAGUGGGGCGACAGGGUCGUUUCUUCUAGCCUGUCCUAAAGAAAACCACCAAAAACUUCCGAAUUAAUAGUAUGCUGCAGGAUCCCUCCUUUUAGAGAUCCAGGAAAAAACGAAAUAUCCAACUUUUCACUACAUUUUACAUGUUCAUGUCUGCAGCCUGUCUUGUUUGUUCCGUUUCUUUAAAAAUUUCUUUUUGAUCUUCUUUUUCCUUCCUUUUUAUUUAAGAUUUUCCUUUCUAGGCAGAAGGGCCUUUCCUGCCCCUUCCCCCUGGCGGCUUGGGUCUAAUGUGCAAACUCCUCCUCCAAACCUUAGACCCUUCCAGCUCUAGAUCUCUCCCCACCUCCUAUCAAGCCCACCCGUCACUCCUUCCCCCACCCCACAGCACGAACACGCCCAAGGACAGUCGCUCCCCAGCGAACUCGCUGCACUCAGGGACCAGUCCCCAGGACGCUGUGCAGGCGGUCAAGGACAGCGAGUCAGAGAGGAUGGGGCCCUGCAGCUGAGCACCCGUCCAGCACCCACCAGUCUGCACGCAGGAGGCAGCGCGGGGAAGCAGAAAAGGCAAGCCACAAACAAGCCUCCAAGGAGCCCUCCGAAAGUAGUGACGCUCACUCCCCCACCAGCAGAUUAUUCGAGGAAGGGAUGGGCGGGAGGGGGGCAAAAUCUCUUAUUUCGCGAUAAUUUUAGCUGCCCAUUAGACCCCACUUGUUCUGAGAUCGUUCUCUCUAAAUUUACCGAGUUAAGUCAUCUUUCUUUCGUCCGUUUGCCUUCGAGAGAAGUGAGGGGUUGGGGGGUGGGAAUGUCGCUUAGGGGUCAAUGA